rnacentral:misc_RNA from 1 species
UAGAGAUGAAAAGAAAAGAAAAAUCAAAAUAAAGUAAUUUGUGAUAUCAUAAUGAUGUCAUUUAUAAAUUACCAACCAAUCACAAGCUAAUAAGCUUUCUUAAAUACUUAAAAGAGACAAAACAAAGACCAAAAUAAUUAAAAAUCCAGCAGCCAUCAUCCUCCCCAAUUGCAGCCGAAAUCAAGCCUUGCCCUAAACCUCCAUUUUCUUCAUUUUCAAGCUUGAAAAACCUCUCAAACCUCACCCCAAAACCCUAAGUCAUCUUCACUAAAAUUUAUCUACACACCCUAAGGAAGCUUUAGGCAGCCAAAAGAGGAAGAAAGAAAGGAGUUUGGGUGGCUGAAAAUUCUGCCACUUAAAG